rnacentral:rRNA from 1 species
UACGUAGGGGGCUAGCGUUGUUCGGAAUUACUGGGCGUAAAGGGCGCGUAGGCGGCCGUUUGCGUCGGAUGUGAAAGCCCGGGGCUCAACCUCGGAACGGCAUUCGAUACGGGACGGCUGGAGACCGGGAGAGGAGAGUGGAAUAGCCAGUGUAGAGGUGAAAUUCGUAGAUAUUGGCUGGAACACCGGUGGCGAAAGCGGCUCUCUGGCCCGGUUCUGACGCUGAGGUGCGAAAGCGUGGGGAGCAAACAGG